rnacentral:rRNA from 1 species
GGUUGAUCCCGCCGGACCCUACUGCUAUCUGGGUGGGACUAAGACAUGCGAGUCGAACGACCCCUAGCCAUGAAGGGGACGUGGCAUACGGCUCAGUAACACGUGGCUGACCUACCCUCGAGACAGGGACAACCCCGGGAAACUGGGGCUAAUCCCAGAUAGAUGAGAACACUUGGAACGGGUUCUUGUCGAAAAGGCACCAAGAUCAUGCUUCUUGGCGUCGCUCAAGGAUGGGGCCGCGUCCGAUCAGGCUGUUGGUGAGGCAACGGCUCACCAAACCUAUAACCGGUACGGGCCGUGGGAGCGGGUGCCCGGAGAUGGGAACUGAGACAAGGUCCCAGGCCCUACGGGGCGCAGCAGUUACGAAAACUUGUCAAUGCACGAAAGUGUGAACGGGCUACCCCGAGUGCCGUCCGCUGAGGAUGGCUUUUCUCUGCUGUAAGAAAGCGGAGGAAUAAGGCGAGGGCAAGCCUGGUGUCAGCCGCCGCGGUAAUACCAGCUCGCCGAGUGGUAGGGAUGAUUAUUGGGCUUGAAGCGUCCGUAGCCGGCCUCUCAAGUCUCUCGUUAAAUCCAGCGAUUCAAUCGUUGGACUGCGGGAGAUACUGUGAGGCUAGGGGGCGGAAAAGCCGACGGUU